rnacentral:rRNA from 1 species
GUGAGGAAUAUUGCACAAUGGGCGAAAGCCUGAUGCAGCAACGCCGCGUGAGUGAUGAAGGCCUUUGGGUCGUAAAACUCUGUCCUUGGGGAAGAAAAAAAUGACGGUACCCUUGGAGGAAGCCCCGGCUAACUACGUGCCAGCAGCCGCGGUAAUACGUAGGGGGCGAGCGUUAUCCGGAAUUAUUGGGCGUAAAGAGUGCGUAGGUGGUUUUGUAAGCGUAGGGUGAAAGGCAGUAGCUCAACUAUUGUUAGCCCUGCGAACUGUGAGAGUUGAGUGCAGGAGAGGAAAGUGGAAUUCCUGGUGUAGCGGUGAAAUGCGUAGAUAUUAGGAGGAACACCAGUGGCGAAGGCGACUUUCUGGACUGUAACUGACACUGAGGCACGAAAGCGUGGGUAGCAAACAGGAUUAGAAACCCGGGUAGUCC